AUUCUUUAUUUGGCCUUUUUACUUUUUUUUUUAUUCAAGCGUAACUGAUGAGUCUUUGAAGACAAAACAUGUGUCUGGCGUAUAAAAUGUAAUUCCUGGUCUCUAUGAUGAGUUUAUGGACAAACUUCAAUUUAUUACUUGAUUUUUUUCCUAUGUGAGGAGUGCCUGAUACUCGAAGUGAUUGAAUGAAAAAUAUAAUAAAAUGUACAAAAAUAUAAAAUUAAGUAUUUAAUAGUGUUAACUUAUUAAAAGUUUAUUUAUAAUUGUACAUAUGUAUAUGUAUAUGAGUCCUGUUGUAUAUUUGAUUAUUGAUGUAUAUUUCACCGUACAUAUCUCAUUCAAAGGUUGUGAAUAUUAUUUAAGGAUUGUUUGAACUGUAAUAUUGAUAUAUAUGGCCUCUUACCAAAAUGUAAAUAAUCCUCAAUUUAUAUAAUUUAUGCUAGA
rnacentral:lncRNA from 1 species